GACGAACGCUGGCGGCGUGCUUAACACAUGCAAGUCGAACGGAAAGGCCCUGAUAUUGUGGUGUUAUGGAGGGGCGAUGGGGUGAGGAACAGGAAAGUAACCUGCCCUUCAUUUUGGGGUAAGUUCAGGAAACUGGAGCUAAUCCCGUAUAGGAGCCGCUGUUGCGUGGUGGGGGUUGGAACGUUUAGGCGGGUGGGGUUGGAUUCGCGGCUUAUCGGCUUGUUGGUGGGGGAGUGGCUUACCAAGGCUUUGACGGGUAGCCGGCCUGAGAGGGUGACCGGCCACAUUGGGACUGAGAUACGGCCCAGAGUCGUACGUGAGGCAGCAGGGGGGAGUAUUGCACAGUGGUCGGAAGUCUGAGGCAGCAACGCCGCGUGCGGGAUGACGGCCUUCGGGUUGUAAACCGCUUUCGCCUGUGACGAAGCGGUUGUGACGGUAAUGAGUAAAGAAGCACCGGCUAACUACGUG
rnacentral:rRNA from 1 species